UUAGUUUCUACUCCUGUGGUAACAGAGUAGUUAGAAGUCUGAAUUUCACAAUUUUCAGAGGAAAAGUUGAUUAAGUACGCUUUGACUGGGAAUUUCCGCCAUAAAACUACUUUCUUAGUGUUAAAAGGGAAGUUAUUUCUAAACCUUUGUAGAAUUCACAGUUUUGCCCACACCCAUAAAUAGGAACUAAAGGCAGCGACAAGCAGAUGUUCAUGCCUGGUGUUUUCAGCUCAUUUGGUGCUUAAAAAUGAUUUUUUUAGCCUGAAAAGAUACCCGUCUGUCCGGACAUAUCAACUGGAUCCUCAACCAAAUACUGAAGGAUCUCCUUUAAUGAUCUAACCCAGAAAAUGUACUAAAAUAUCUGCAGCGAGCAUGAGCAGAAACACCGGAAGAGAAAGAGACGGGUGGAACUACAAUCAAACCUGGAGCUGCCAUCUUUGCUCAAGAGGUUUCAGCUACAAAAUCAGCGAUGAACAUUAAAAGUUCAACAAUCAGAUUAGGGCUGCACGGUGGCCUAGUUGGUAGCACUGUUGCCUUGCAGCAAGAAGGUCCUGGGUUCAACUCCUGGCCGAGGGUCUGCAUGUUCUCACCGGGUACUCCGGCUUCCUCCCACAGUCAAAAGACAUGCCUGUUUGGUUAAUUGGUCUCUCUAAAUUGCCCUAAGGUGUGUGCAUGGCAGUUUGUGUGUUACCCUGCGAUGGACUGGCGAUCUGUCCAGGGUGUAACGCACCUCUUGUGGAUAGGCACCAGAUUCCCCAAGACCCACUAUGGAAGAAGAGGUAGAAAAUGACUGGCUGACAAUCAGAUUAUCAAAAACUAUGUAAAAAAGUUGUCCAAUCUAUCAUUACACUGGAAGCCAUGUUUAUAUUAGGAAAUUAAAAUGUAAAAUAUCACAUCUCAAUGACCACUUGUAAUUGAAAAUAUGUCAAACUUCUAACAGUUUUGGUACAUAUAAAACUGUAUGAGAUCAGGCUGAAGAUUGACAGAAUAAUCCCAUUUUCUUAAAUAGUUUAGUGUUUUAUAUACUAAAAGGAAAAAAAUCCUUUAACAUUUUAAAGAAUUCAAAAGCUUUGCUUCAUGGCUCCCAGAUCAUGUUCCUUCCCGACUUGCACGUUAAGUGCAAGUGUGGUUCCUGAACAUCCUAACCCGUUUGCUUUUACCUGAUGAAGACAGUUUGGGCUGGAUGAAUAAAACUUGGGCACAACUGAGAUUCCAGCAAAAGAACAAUUAUAAAGAACAUUUAUCUCAGCUUUUUUUGAGGACUUCCAUUAAGGUUCCUGAAAAGUCUCCUUAAAACCCUGACAUCAAACCUAGUAAAAGUUUAUAGGCCAUGCAGAAAACCAGGUCUGUGGUCAGAAACCAACCAGUUUAAAUUACCUACAUCAAUUCUGCCAAGAAGAGUGGCCAAAUAACCAGCCAAUAUUAUGUUGAAGAUUACUGAUGACUAGAAAAGGUUGUGGUGCAACUUGCUGAUGCAUAUUAAUCAAAAUAUUAAUACACAAGACUGUAAAACAUUGACCCAGAGUAGGCUAAAAUAAACCCACAAUAAAUUUUA